rnacentral:lncRNA from 10 species
UAGUGCUGCAAUAAACAUAGGUGUCCAUUUGUCUUUAUUGUAGGAUGAUUUAUAAUCCUUUGGGCAUAUGUCCAGUAAUGGGAUUGCUGGGUCAAAUGGUAUUUCCAGUUCUAGAUCCUUGAGGAAUCACCACACUGUCUUCCACAAUGGUUGAACUAAUUUACGCUCCCCUGGAUUUCUUUUUAUUAAAGUCUGACAUUUCUACAAAAUGGAGACAGGAGCCCUUCUUAGUAUUCCUGGAUUUAAGCUGUGACAAUUUCAUGAUGAUGGUGAUGAUGAUGAUCAUUACAAAGACUAUGGAAACAGGUGACAGGUAUUCAUUGCUCCCCAUGUGCUGGUUACUGUACUGAGUGCUUCAUGUGGCUUGCCGUGGUCCAGCCUCACAUGAUGGAGCAGGGAGGCUCGGUGAGAGGGCUCACACAUCUGGGCAGCGGCAGAGCCUGUCCUCAGACUCAGGUCAGUUCUAAUCACUCCCCUCCACAACCUUCCCUCCCCUCAGCCUUGGGAGUCUUGCACUGGAAUCCACGCAGCUCAACUCCACAUGCACACAGGGGCUGCCCCCAACAUGGAGGGGACUGGUUCCUGGGCUCAUCAGAGAAUAAGUGGUGAGAAAUCCACUUUGUCACUCUGGGGAUCUGACAGGGGAUGCCUGUCAUGAUAACAUCAAUUAACUGACAAACUAGAAGGGAUCUUAGCAAGCAAUCCUCCAUUUCCCUCAUUUUUCAGCUGAGGAAAUGGGAACCCUCAGAGGUGAAAUGACUUGCCCAUACUUAACAUCUCAUUGAAAUGGGAAGAACAGAAUAAACAAACCAGAGACCUUGCUAUGAAUGGAUGUGCAAAAAGAGACACAGAAGGACAAGGACCUGGGUGAAUGGACAUUGGCUAAAUCAUCUUUGCCAUAUUAAAAAAUCCCCUAUGAAUUUAUAGCUUCUCUAAAAAUGUUCAGUUUUUAAAAAAUGCCUUCUUGUGUCAAGUCAGAUUCUCUCUUAGUCACUCCCAGAGUUUGUUCAUACUUCUCCCACUUCUGACACAUCCAAUCACAGAAUUCUCCCUCUCUGCCUGCCAUUUUUUUCCUUUGGACUCCAUUAAUCCUGCCCCAUGAUCCCAGAUACCCUUACUCUUCUCCUCUGACACAUCGCAGAGUGACCUCAGGACCUGCACAUCCCAUCCUCCAUGGGUCCACGGCAGAGCCUCUUGAGGAAACCCAACUGUAAAGUGACACGUUGGGUUUUGAAUUAGAUAGAGGAAUGAUUUGUAGACUUUUCUUCAGAAUAUGCACCCCUUCAAAAAAAAAAAAAAAAAAGGAAGGAAAAGAAGAAACAGCUACACUUCACUAAGUUCAAAUGCAGUGUUUGGAAAGAGAAUGAUAGUGAUUUACACAGAAGCUCACAAGAAGGUUGAGGGAAAAGCUGCUCAACAGGAUGAAAGACAAAGGCUGCACAGACUUGAAGGUAAUAUAUGUAGUAUGUGAUCAAACAAAUCACUGAAAAAAAAAAGACUAUGGAAGACUAUGGAUAGGAGAAAAAAAAUGUGUCUCCUGGGGUGGAGGAGUUACUGAAUGUUUUGAGCUAGGGAGCAGAUUUUUUGUGUGAAGACAAUUUCCUAAGAUUUUCACCCUGACAAUGAAUCACUCUGCAGAGAACAGUGAUGGGCCAUCUAUGGGAGGGAAGAUGAUGAAUGUGUCCAGAAGACUUGAGGUGACUAAGGAACACUUGUGGAAACAUUCGCUGACACUUUCCUAAGCUCUGCGUCUGUGUACUACUUGGCACUGUGUAAGGGAUGGCCUAGCCCCCGGCUCACAGGUCCACAGCUGGGUUUCUGUCUUUCUCGCAUGCCCACCUGACUCCUCACCCUCAGCUUAACCCUUGAAAACUUUCCCCUCCUGGUUUUUCUGCUUUCUAAAUUCCAUCUGCCCCUCACUUAUGAGUCACAGUCACCACUCAGCUGGGUAAUUAGUCAGUGUUAACUCAUCUCUGAGCAGCAAAAAGCUAAAUCCUCAGGGAGGAUGGAUUGCUUCCAUCAUCACAGCCCCUCCCGCAUAGAAUUCUCUGCUGAGAUACAGGAAGGUUGAGACACAGGCAGGCAAAUUCAUGACCUCACUUAUUCCUUCCCUCUCUCACUUCAUUCCACUGACUAUUACUGAGUACCUAUUGUAGGCAAGGCACAGUGCCAGGCAAGAAAACAGCUGGGCCAUUACCAACACAACCAUUUUUUCUCAUUAAAAACAUCCAAAGACAUUUGGUGGCAAAUUUCAUUAUGGUUCAUGCAAACAUAAGGAGAAUGAGUCCUGUAAAUUACCAAGACAUCCUGGACUGAGCUGAAGAUGAAUUCUCACAGAGCUGUUCUACACUUACGUGCUAAGAUGGCCUGCUUUGAAGAAGUCAGCUGCCAUGCUGUGGGAUGGCCUAUGGAGAGAGCCAUGUGGUAAAGAACUGUGGGCGGCUUCUAGGUGCUGAGUGUUACCCCAGCUGACAGCCAGCAAGAAGUCAGGGACCUCCAUCUUACAGCUGCGAGGAGAUGAAUUCUGCCAAGAACUGAAGGAAUGCAGAAAUGGACCCAUCCCAAAUUGGGCCUUCAGAUGAGAACAGCCCUGACCAACACCUUGAUUGUAGCCUCACAGAGGACCCAGCUAAGCUAUGCCUGGACUCCUAACCCACAGAAACUGUGAGAUAGUAAUUGCGUGUUGUUUUAACCUGCUAAGUUUGUGGUACUCUGUUACACACAAUACAUAAUAGCUCACAUUCUAUUUUUACUUUCUUGUUCAAAUGUAAGUGUAAGAGAGAGAUGCUUGUUUGACAAUCUCUGUUUUUCUAACAGCUAUCUGUGUGCUCUUUUUGUGAGUAGGUUGAUGGGGGGUGUGACAUGGACUGGCAUGAUGACAAAUCAUAACAAGGCUGAGAACAGGUAUGAAUGGAGAUCCCUGAGACGAUGCGCCCCUGCUUAAGUGAGGAGAUGCACUAGCCCCACCCUACCCCAUCCCUCCAUUUUUACCAAAUUGUCACCUUCAUUGGUGAUACUCCCAUUGGUCAGGCUGCAGAUUUGUCCCCAGGGGGACAUGAGAACUAGGCUUGUUUUCCAGGUGCCAGAGCCUCAACUCAUAAUUUGUGUUGUUUGAGGGACUGAUGUAAGAAAAGAUGAAUAGAUAGAUGGAUGAAUUGGAACAGACAGUCACCUCCAAUAGGAAAAGAAAAAGCCUCCAAGUCACCCUGCCUGGGGCUGCUUCACUGCUUUGCAUCCAUGCACAAAGGACAUCUUGUCGUGGUCAUUACUAAGCCAGUCAGUUUUCUCUCUCACUCUUAACCCCACCCAAGUUUCUCCAUUUACGAGCAUGUCUCACAGUUGUAAAAUAAUAAUAAAAAUAAUAUUAAAUCUCAAGACACCCUGUGAAAAUGUAAUGAAAAUCCACUACCAAAUACACUACCGAUUAAUAAAAUUCAGUAAUUUUUAUUCCUGUGCUGGGAAGCUAAGUUAGAGGACAUGGGAAAUAGAGAACUAUGCUAUAAAAAAUAGAACCAAUGGCAUUAAUUCUCUUAAAUAAUCAAAAUUUGACUGGUGAUUUUCCUGAUUUAUGUCACUCUUUAUUGUAAGCCAACAUGCACAGUCCAGCUUGAAUCUGCAAGAGUCAUAAAGGAAACCUCAAGUGGAUGUUCAUACUACAGUCCUCCUGGGGCAUAAACAUUAAUGGUUCAUAGAAGAAAAUAGAAUUAUCAGCUUUCACUGCUUAAAUGCCUUUUAUCUCUACUGUACAUACAUUCUGACAGAGUGAUUACCCUAAUCUCAAGUGUUGAGAACAAAUUAGUUCAUUUUAAAAUUCAUUAUUUACAAAGGAUUUAGUUCAAUAUUGAGUUUCUAAAUGAACCUCUACAUCACGUAAGAUUAAAUCCAGCCCCAGUGUAUCCGGGGUGUGAAUAGUAGUAGAUGAUGGAGAGGCAUAGAAUGUAUCAAAUUCUAUAGUAGUCAUAGUCUCACAAAUAAUUGGCACAGAUUUUUUUUCUGGCAAAUAACAAACUACCACUCAAGCCAGUUUCUUAUGAAAAAUAAAAAAUCAGAAUCAAUUUCUAACUUUGUCUUGUAAUUAUUUAUAUUAAGUAACAAAAUCUUGAAUUCUAAAUACUGACUCUUCUCAACUCUGUACAAAAUUCUGGCAAAUUCAAAAAUCUAUGCUUGCAUCAUUUACCUAUAUUAAUCCUCCAACGUGAUGUUUAAAAAGCCCAAAAUAUUCUGCAACCAGAACAAUGUCUAAUUUGCUUCUCAAACCUAUAGAAAUUGUGUUUGUUUUCAGUAAGUGUAAAAAUGUAUGAGACAAAUGUUCCUUACUGGCCCAUGGAAGGUAGGGUUUUGGGAAAGAAAGAUAAUGUACAUGCU